AGGGCCAGUUCAUUUUCGUUCAUGGAGAUGUAUGGUACGGGAUAUGGUACUCCCUGUAUAUAGCCGCAUUCUUGUGGUCUUUAUUCCACCUGUGUUAUCAUUUUAAAAAUGUCUUAUUUUUAACAUCAUUGGGAAAGAGCUCGUGAAUGAAACGUGCAUUUUCUUGACGUCAGAGUCGACAAAAAUAAAGAUUGCGUCUGGUUGCUAUGAGACAGCAGAGAAGCAGUUCCUGAUGAGAGCUAUGGAGUUCUCAGCUUUGCAAGGAACAGGCUACAAGUGAGGACAGACACAUCGGGGACGCGACUACGCACGUCCUUAUCCAAUUCUGA